rnacentral:lncRNA from 1 species
AGCAAAGCUCUUAUAAUUGUACCAUUUGGUUUGGGUAUAAGUAAGAACUAGCUAUUACAGGGAUAGAUACAAGUAUGGAGAUAAGAAAAAUAGUGUUUGGAUGAAAAUUGGGCUGUUCCUGGAGAUAAGAAAAAUAUUAGGUAGUUUUAUAUAAAAAAUGAAGGUAUUGGUGGGGAUAACUAAGAACUACUAUUCUCAGGUAAAAAAUUAGCAUUUGGAUAUAAAGGGGGGGAUAAGGGCCUAUCCCUACUCUUAUCCCCUAACCAAAUGCUGUUUGGUUGUGGGAUAAAAGUGGGAUAACCCCUUUUAUCCCACUAUUCUUGCCAAACACCAAGCAAAAUUGGCAUCUUAAUUUAUACCUGCGUUAACGGGUUAUUUCAGAAUAAUCCGUUAAGAGAGGAGAAUAGUAGUUCCAUGUAUUGGGUAGAACAAGCUAUUCUCUAAUUUAUUCCUCCACUAAUUAAGUUGUAAAUAAUUAUAAAUUAUAAUCAAUUAAUACAAUUAAAUUUUUUUAAUAAUUGACUAAUUAAUUAUUUGAGUUAUUAAAUUAAUAAAUAUUUAAAUAAUAAUCUAUUUAUAAUUUAUUAUUAUUUAUCUAAUUAAAUAGUUAAAUUUAAAAAUUUAAAAAUUUAAAAUUUAUAAUUUGUAAUCUCAAAAUUAAAGUUUAUAAUUUUAAGUUCUAACUUUUAAAUUUUAAAUUUAAAUUUUGAUAUUUUAAAUUUUUGAAAUUUAAAAUUUGAUAGUUUAUAUUUUCCAAAUUUAAAUUUGAUCUCAUAUUUAAAAUUUAAAAUUUAUAAUUUAAAAUUUGAGUUUAAAAUUUGAGAUUUUAAAUUUAAAAUUUUAAUUUCAAAUUUUGAAAUUUCAAAGUUAAAAUUUUAAAUUUAAAAAUAUAAAUUUAAAAAUUUAAAAAUUUAAAUUUAAAAAUUCAAAUUCAAAUAUAAUAAGCGGGUAAUAUCAUUAUUUUUUAUUUAUAAAGCCUACUAUCCUUCUUAUUCCAUCUUACCUAACCAAACGCUAUUUUUUUUGCUCUCAGGAAUAACCCAAUUUUCAUCCAAACGUAAAAUUGAUCUAAUCCCCGCUUAUAUCUCAAUUUAUAUACUUAUCUCUGGAAUAGUCACUUUCUGCUUAUUCCCGACCAAACGAUACCUUAGGUUGCGUUUGGUUUGGGUAUAAAUAAGAACUGCUUAUUCCAGGGAUAGUUACAAGUUCAGGUAUAAGCAAGAACUAGACUAAUUUUGUGUUUAGAUGAAAAUUGAGUUGUUCUAGAAAUAAGAUAAAUAGUGCUUGAAUGGUUAGAUUGGAACAAAGGAAAUAAGAAUUAUAAUUUUAAAUUAAAAUUAUUUUAUCUAAUUAAUUAACAUCAAAAUAUUACUUAAAAAUAAUAAUUAAUAUUAAUAAUUAUAAACAAUAAAUUGAUUAAAUAUAAUAAGUUAUAAAUAAUUAUAAAUAAUAAUUAUUAAUUAAUAAUAAUUCAUUAAUAAUAAAUUAAUUAGAUAAUAUAGUAUAAUAUAACUAAUAAUAAUUAUAAUAAAAAUAAUUAAUUAAUAUAUAAUAAAUAAUAAAUUAUAAAUACUAAUAAAUUAAAUAACUUAAUUAAUUAUAAUUAAUUAAUAGUAAAUUAAUUAUAAAUAAUAAAUUAAUAAAUAAUUUUAUUAUUUAAGUAAUAAAUAAUAAUUUAAAUAUAUUAAUUAAAUUAAUUAAUUAUUUAAUACCAUAAUAAUUAAAAUUAUUUUUAAACUUUAAUUAAUUUUAUUCUCAUCUGGGAACAAGCUUGUUUCAAAAAAAAAGGUGGAACAUCAGUUCCAGUCUUAUACCGGCUUAUUCCAGAAAGCCAAGAGCUACUGUUCUCGGUUACCAAACGCACUGUUUGAAAACAAAGGGGGGAAUAAAGGCUUAUUCUUCCCUCUUAUUUCCGAAUCAAAUGCUACCUUAGAGCCUGGGUGUAUAGCUUGGAACAUGUCCAGGUCUACAAUAAAUUUCCGGUGCAUUAAAAAAAAAAAAAGCAGUCUAAACCCAAGUAGCUGUGGCCCAUGAUCCAAAGGCCAGGUUCAUCGGUUUUUCUCUAGCCCAUUUAUUCGGAAUAGGACGCUAGCCCCUCUUUAACUUUUUCGUUAAAUUUAUAUAUAAAAAAUUUCAGAUAUUCUAUAUGUAGUUUAUCAAAUAUUUAUUUUAAUAUCCUUUAGUUUUAACUUUAUCGGUGAUUUAACGAAAAAAUUAGUGGAGGGAAUAACAAAAAAAAAAAAAAUACCACAAAGUACGAAAGUGAUACAUUUUAAAUCACAGAAUACUAAAGUGAGAAAGUGCGCAACUAUAAGAACAGUAUUUGAAGUUUUUUUUUUUCUCUUUUGAAAAACCAAACUAUUGUUUUUUUUUUUUUUUUUUUUUUUUUUUUUUUUUUUUUGGAGUCGUUUAUUUCAUUAAGAAAUAAAUUUAGCUAGAAAUAUGAAUCAACUAGGAUUCGAACUUGGGUCUCGGGUACCAACUACUAAGCCCUUUGUCACUUGCUCUAGGAACCGUCGGUAAAAUAGAGCUAUUGUUGAUUUGCUGUUUGCAGUGAAAAGAAAGGAAGCCAGCGGAGCCGGUGGUGGUGCACAGGCUAGCAGUGGUGGGAGCAGGCAGUGGCUGGGAGCAAAGAUGGUAGGGCAAGGAGGCAAUGGUGGGGCUUGGAACUUUUUGGCCCUUCUCCUUUCUAUCAUCAUCUUAUUCCUCUUCUAGUCUUCUAGCUUAAUUUGGAUGGCUACAUUCCAAAAAUGCUUGUCCAUUAAGUUGUUGGCAGAGCCGUAAAAGAACUUUAUAUGGAUCUUCGUUUUUACUCAUGUUAAAAUGCUUCUAUAAUAUCCCUUUUUCUUUUGAAUAAUCUUACCUAUCUGCUAACAUGCUAUCUCUUCGGGGCUGUUUGGUUUGACGCGAUCGUAACUAUACUAUAAUUUUAACUAUAUCGAGAUUUAAUUAUGAUAUCUAAUUUGGCGCAAUUAUAAUAAUGUCUUAUCCGAAAAGAAGCUCCUUCCACAUUAGAAGAUGCAGAAUAUCAACCUCUACCAAAUACAGAGGAAUAUUUUAGCAUAGCUGGAGUUGAGACCUGACAAGUUAAUAUGCCUCGUGGGAUGUUUGGUUAUAGCCUUAUAGGAGAAUUUUCUUUUUUUUUAAAAUUAUUUUGAUAUAUUUCAUUAUUACAAGAGGAUAAAUAAACAAAGACAAAAUAAAAGGCCUUUACACCUAUACAUGAGACACACAAUAAGAAAAAUAAAAAUAGUGUAUUAAAAAUUUAAAAUAAGUGUAGGAAGAAAGGGGUAAAUUUUAAAUAUCAUUCUUUUGGUUUUGCGCUUUAUCACUUUACUAUCAUGUGGUUUAUAUUGUAUUAUUUUUGUAUUUCAUAGUUUCAUUUUUUCUUUCUGUCAGUACCUACAUUAACUCUGUUAAAUCAUACAUAAAAACCAUCAGAUACUCCACUUAUAAUUUAUUGAAUAUUCACUUUAGUACCCGAUGGUCUACCGAAUUUUCACUUUAGUACUUUGUAGUUUUACUUUUAAUUGAUUUAACGAAAAAAUUAAUAUACGAAGUAACGGAAAGAGAAAAAUAAAACCAUAGGGUAUUAAAGUGAUACAUUUUAAACUAUAGAGUAGUAAAGUAAGAAAGUGCAAAACCACAGGAAUAAUCUUUGAAAUUUUUUCAAAAAAUAAUGUUGAAAGUUUUUAUGAUGCAGAAGACAUGGCCACAAGCAAUGAAUGAGAGAAAAACUUGGUGGGAAAUUUUCUGGAAUGCACACUAGUUUGGAGCGCAGGAGAAAAGAAUUUUCGUAGACUAAUAUGUUUCUAUAUGAUUAUAAAUUUAGUUGUAGAAUGUGUAAACAUAAAUCUCUUCGGAAUUCUCAAAAAUAUCCAUUUUUUUUUUUUACCCUUCUCUCUCUCCUCUCCUCCCUUUAAACAGUAAUUUCCUCUUUUGGCAGAGGCAUCCUCGUCACUAAAAGUUAUUUUAAUACUUUUACAAAAGAAAUUAACUUUUCUCGGCACAAAUGGCAAAAUACUUGAUGAUUUAUUUUUUAUGUACUAAAUUCGAAAGCUUAUUGCUUCAUAUUUUUAGCUAAAUUUAUUAAAAAGAAAAAAAAAUUGGGUAGCACGCUAUCUCUUUUUCAAAAAAGAUAGAAAAAAAUUUACUGAAAAAUUAAGAUAAAUAAAUUAUCAGCACCAAUUUUUUUUUUUUUUGAGAGAAAGGUAACAUGCUACCCGCUUCGUUUAUUUCAUUUAAAAAUAAAUUUAGCUGAAAAUGUGAAUCAAUUAGGAUUCGAAAGAAACUUAGAAAUAAAUCAACUUCAUUUAUUUCAUUUCUUUCUAAAUGAAAUGAAUCGACUAUUUCAUUUAGAAAGAAACUUAGAAAUAAAUUAUCAGCACCAUUUAUUUCUAGUUUUAUCUUUUUUUUAAAAAAAAAUUUCAGUGUGUAUCUCACCUAAGUUUCUUAUGUCUAAAAGCGCAUUACUUUUAAGAGAAAUUGCCACAUGAAUGCAAACUCCGUGGCUAAUUCUUUGUUAGAAAAAAUUCAGCGAAUAUUAGAGGCUUAAUUUUAAAAAAAUUAAAAAUGAGGAACAAAGUGAAAAAUUGAGAAAAAGAUUAGAUCAAGGAUCUAUCCUGUAUAGCUGUAUAUCCUGCAGAAUUUUCUUUUCUUUUUUUUUUUUUGUGUGUGUGUGUGUGUGUGUGUGUGUAACGGUUAUAUCACAUGUAAUAUGCCCUGAGCCACUCAUGUUUUAUGUUCAAUGAUAUUGCAAAACUUCUAAUAGGAAGUAAUAUGAGCAAUAUGAUGGGCACAAGUUCUCUCCCUGCAAUUUCUUAUGUAAAAUUUCUACACAUAGAAAUAAUAAUAUUUUUUUAUUAAUAUAAUGCUUUUAAAAUUAUUUAUUUUUAUUAUUUUUUUACAAUAUGUGAAGAUAUCAACUAUAUAUAUAUCUUUAUUAUUGUGUGAAAUAAGAGCAUGCUUUUUUUAAUUUUUUUUUGUGGAUUUGGGAAGUUGAACUUGUGACUUUGAAUUAAGUUGCCAGUUUGACAUCCAAGCCGUGAGAUCGUCUAAACUUUUACUCACAAUUGUAUAAAAACCAAUCAAAUUUUUUGAUUUUAACGGAGUAAGUGACGUUGUCAAAUUUACGAAACUCACAAGUUUUCUGCUAUCUGACUUUUCGCUUCCCAACGAUUCCUGACUGGAAAAAUUUUAAGAAUAUUAUAAUUGACCGUCAUUCGCGUCCUAAGUCAAUCAAAUUGUAUAUUUAAAAUUCACUCAUCGCUGUGAUGGUUCAAAAAGAAAAAUUAUUACACUUUAUCUAAAAGGAAAAAAUUUUAAUUGGAUAUCUGUCCUAGAUGGCACAGCAAAUUAUAAAUAAAUCUAAAAUGUGCUGAUUACAUAUUCUAUCGUAUUUGGUCCAAUGAAUUAUAAUAGUUUCUUACAAAUCCACCGUCUCAUUAUUGAUUAAUAACAAAUUAUUUAUAUUUAUAUUUUGUUAAAAAAUAUUUGAUUGGCUGUAGGUAGCUGACGUGGUGCGCGUGCUAAAAUAGGAUGGAAUUCCUCGUGGGUGCACUUUCUCAGCUUGCUGAGUGAAACGAGGUGAGAGAAGGUGAGAAGAGUGAGGGGCAAAGGGGGAACGGAAUUACCGAAAUAGAAGGUGGGGAGAGGGGCCGGUAAGCGUACCACCACGACUCCGACCUGGCACGGUGCCACCGCAUUUGGGGGGCUCGUCUCCGCGGAUCCCGUCACCGCCCACCUCGCCUUCGCCUCUCCCCCCCUCCUCCUCCUCCUCAUCUCGAUCUACCCCAUCGCCAUUGUCGAAGCAAGCGACCUUUUUCUCUCUUCGAUCGAUCGAUCGAUUGAGCGAUUGAUUGAUUGAUUGAUCGAUUGAUCUGUUCUUGGCCGCGGGAUCUAGGGUUUGGCGAUGGCCUCGGCGAAGUCGUCGCGAUCGAGGCCCUCGGCGCCCUCGGGGAUGCUCUCGGGGGCGGGGGCGGGGCACAGCGAGAGCGGGGUGCAGCUCGCCGACAAGCUCAAGAUCUUCAAGACCGACAACUUCGACCCCGACGCCUACGUCCAAUCCAAGUGCCAGACCAUGAACGAGAAGGUCCCCCAUUCACUCCCCCCUUCCCAAAAAAUUUCCUAUUUGUUAGGAUGGUUUUUUUUUUCCUCUUUUUUUGGAGGUUUUGAUGCGAUUUUACUGCAAAAGAUGCCAUUUUGGAUCUUGUCUUUCUGAUGUGCCUGUGUUCCUGUAGAUCCGUUCAGAGAAAUAGUCAAAAUUUUGAUGUACAAAUUAGUUGGAGCGAAGCAUUUGUUUGUGGAUUAUGGGAUAAAUGUUUGUUCUAAUGAUCUAGUAGGAAGGAUUUGAUCACUAUAGAGGAUUUUUUGAUGAAUGCUGUGCAUUUUCUCUUGCAUGUAUCCAUAAUCCAUCGGGAAUGUUGAGUUUAAUUUGGCCAAAAAAUUAUAAUUAAAAAUUGGUUCCGAGAGAAGCUUUCAUAUGUUAAACAAAUGAUAUGAGACCAUGGACGAAGUUCUCUUCAUUGCUUGUUGCAUUACCAAAAUAUUUUUAAUGUCCUUUGGAAAUGGCUAGUUGAGAUGUCAAAUGGCUCUUAGUUAACUGUUGGCGUGCUCAUGAGAGUUGAACAGAGACAAAAAUGUUCGCGCAUUAGAUGCUUAAUACAUUGGGGUUGCACUGCUUUGUUGUUGUGGGAAAGGCUUAUUGCAGGAUGCUCAUCAUGAUAAUUAUGGUGGUGAGGUUUAGCCAGUUGCUUUUAUCGACAUUGAAGAGGUGAUUUCACCAAUAGUUUACUUAGUGACAUCAUUAGACAUCCAAGUUUUCUGAUGAUUUGUGGUCUGAUUUUACAUUUUAUAGUGGCUUUCUACUCUUGUCACAAACAAGCAAAACCUGUAGGUCAAUUUUAUCUGAUUACUAGUAAAAUAGUAAGAUCUUGUUAUUGCUUCUAUUUCCACAUAGCAUCUGGAUAUACCAAACUUUAAGGAAUUGUUAUGUUUCUUUUAGUAUUGCAUAGGUAAUCUACAAUGCUGAAAUUCUUGAGCUCUCUGAAAUGUUAUAAGUCACUAUACUACUAAGAAACUUAUGUUGCUGAUUAGCAUUAUAAAAAUGUAACUGAUAAUUGUCUGAAUGCAUUCUCACUUGGUGCAGGAAAUAAGGCACCUGUGCUCUUAUCUGCAAGAUCUAAAGAAGGCUUCUGCUGAAGAGAUGCGCAGAAGUGUUUACGCUAACUAUUCAGCAUUCAUUAGGUAUGUAUUUUCAACAUCUUUUAUUGGACAUUUUGUGUUCUGCACCGUUAGUAAACUACCUUCUGGUCGGUAAUCUUUAGUGUUUCUCCUUUAGUGAAGGUUAAAUUUGAUGUUUCGAAAUAGCUACGUGGCUAACUAAUUAAAUUAGUGUCAUAAGAAGGUUCUUAGCAUGAUUCAUGGCAGUACAGGUUAAUGUCAUGGAAAGAAGUUAUUCUCUUUCUCCUUCUCAGACGUGUUAUAGGCAGGAGCCUUGUGUGCUAGGACAACAUCACUGCCUGAACUAUAGUAUAUUGUGGAAUAAGUAUAUGAACUUUAAAGUUAGGAUUUUAGUGCUUUCUAUUAUUUCAUAUUUCGUUACCUGACUGUUAAUCUUUUGACAGAACUUAAAAUCAUCAAUCAAGCUCUGAAGAAGAGGUAGUGGAAAAAAAAAUAUAAUGAAAGGUUACGUAUUUCUCAAAAUUAAAAAAAAAGAGGAAAAAGUUGUAGUUAGGUAUUGUAUUUAAAACUGUGAGUUCACCUAUUUCAAAAAUGUGCUAUUCUUCAAGUAGUGCCUGUUUGUUUUUACCUUUAAUUUCUCACCUAAAAUUGUAGUUAACGGUAGAAAUGCAAUUGACAUAGUUUUUCACUAUUUACAGAACCUCAAAGGAGAUAUCAGAUCUAGAAGGCGAGCUUCUAUCCAUUAGAAAUCUUCUAUCUACCCAGGCAGCUUUAGUUCAUGGUUUAGCCGACGGAGUUCACAUUGAUUCUAUUACUGCUAGCUCUGAAGCUUCUGCAGAAGAUGAUCUAUCCAGUGUCGAAGAUCGAGAACCUUCAGAUGUACAGAAAUGGUCGCUAGAGUUCCCCGACAUACUCGAUGUUCUACUAGCUGAGAGGAGAGUGGAUGAAGCUUUGGAUGCCCUAGAUGAAGCUGACCGCAUAGCCACAGAAGCCAAACAAAGACAGACUUUAAGUGCAGCCGAAAUUUUAUCACUACAGAGGGCUAUUUCUUACCAUCGUCAGAAAUUAGCAGAUCAGCUUGCCGAAGCCACCUGCCAAUCUUCGACCCGUGGAGUUGAACUCCGCGCAGCAGCCUCUGCCCUCAAGAGGCUCGGGGAUGGGCCCCGUGCUCACAGCUUGCUGCUUAAUGCUCAUAAUGAGAAGCUUCAACAUAAUAUGCAGACGAUUCAUCCAACCACCACUUCAUAUGGGGGAGCGUACACUGCAGCUCUAUCCCAGCAGGUGUUCUCUAUUAUUUCUCAGGCUCUUAAUGACUCUUUAGAGGUUUUUGGUGAAGAAUCAUCAUAUGCGUCAGAAUUGGUUAUAUGGGCUACAAAACAGGCAGAGGCUUUUGCCCAACUUGUAAAGAGGCAUGCCUUAGCCUCUUGUGCUGCUGCUGGAGGGUUAAGAGCAGCUGCAGAGUGUGUUCAGAUUGCUCUUGGCCACUGUUCUUUGCUGGAGGCCCGUGGCCUUUCGCUUUCUUCGGUUCUCCUGAAGUUGUUCAGGCCCAGUGUUGAGCAAGCACUAGAGGCUAAUUUGAAGAGGAUUGAAGAGAGUACUGCUGCUUUAGCUGCCGCUGAUGAUUGGGUGCUUAUUAGUCCUCCUUCUGGUUUACGUGCUUCUGCUAGAGUGUCUACGACAAAUUUAGCUCUUCAGCCGAAACUUUCUAGCAGUGCACAUCGUUUCAAUACUAUGGUUCAGGUGAUACAUAUACUUUCAUAUAGGAUAAAAGCAAUAAUAUGCAUAUGUUCUUUGUUAGCUUAUUUUUGCACUAUAAUAUGAUGUUUUAUUUUCAACACUUAUAUUUGCACCAUUAUCUGUUAAUGCAUUGGUAAAAAUCAUCUAGAUUUUUUUUAAAAAAAUUUGGUCCAGUGACCAUACAAGUGUUUAUUUGAGUGAAAAAAAAGAAAAAUCUGAUUUGGAAGCUCUUCAUAUGCACUUUAGCUGAUAAAUAGUUGGUCAUUUAGGCAAGUUUUAUAUAGUUAAACAACUUCAGUUUUGCUGAAGUUUUCAUCUUUCCAACUGCCAUUUGCAGGAUUUCUUUGAGGAUGUAGGGCCGCUCCUUAGUUUGCAGUUAGGUGGAUCCACGAUGGAUGGCCUUCUUAAAGUUUUCAACUCGUAUGUUAAUUUGCUCAUAAGUGCAUUACCAGGUUCAAUGGAAGAUGACGAGAACCUGGAAGGUUCUGGAAACAAAAUUGUUAGGAUGGCAGAGACCGAAAUGCAGCAGCUAGCGUUGCUUGCUAAUGCUUCUUUAUUAGCAGAAGAGUUGCUGCCUCGAGCGGCCAUGAAGCUUUCUCCAAUGUACCAGACUGGUAAUGAUGAUCUUCGUAAAAGAGCUUCAGAAAAGAAUAACCGUGUACCUGAGCAAAGAGAAUGGAAAAGAAAGCUACAACGUUCCGUUGAUAGGUUGAGAGAUAGUUUCUGUAGGCAGCACGCUCUUGACCUCAUAUUCACAGAGGAUGGUGACAGCCAUUUGAGUGCAGAUAUGUACAUUAGUAUGGAUAAUAGUGUUGUUGAAGAGCCAGACUGGGUUCCUUCCCCAAUCUUUCAGGUACUUGUACACUUUUCUAGGUUUCUUUAGUAGUUUAAAUUUACAGCUUUUUGAAGUAGAGUUCUGCUAUGAUAACUUCCUUCUGUUCAUGAAUUUUAUUUGCGCUCUUAUUUCUUCUUUUCUUUGUAUUACUUAUGAGUUCUGUUCUUCUACACAUCAAAUAUGUUAUCUAUGAUUAAGCUAAACAAGCCUAUUUCAUGUGGACAGCGAUGAAUGAAAUGUUACAUGUAUACCACCUAUAUGUUUAUUGAGGUCCUAGUGUUAGUUUUCUCGUCAUGUAGUUUCGAAGAAGACAUUGCGCAUGCGUGUUAUCCUCAUUCUCUCCCAUUCUAUUAUUCCUGAAUACACUUUCCCCAUUGGUUUCAAAGUUGGGAUUGCAACUGUAUUUUGCUUUGGUUAAUUGGCUUAUUGUUUGUUGAUGUAUAAUGAGCCACUUUUAUUCAUUUGUUUUUUGUCUUCUUACCAACUUAAUACUGUUCAAAAUCUUGUGGAAUAUGUGAUAUCUGAUUUUUUUUAAACUGUUAUCUUACCUGUAAGGAGGCUACUUUGCUGCAAUCAAGUACUAUUUCAGGACUCUAUGGAAGAAUUUUCCUUAAGCAAAAAGUUUCCUUAUUUAGCAAGCUAAAACCCAGUUAUUUAUGUUAAAAUGUGUUUGUGACUCUUUUUUAAGUUAGUUUGAACUCAUUUCUUCUCCUAGAAAUGUAAAUACAGAUUUUCAUGCUAGCAGGAAUCAAGUUUAAUUCAGUAAGACCAAACUUAUCACAUGGUCUUCAACUUGUAAUUGAUGGUUUUAGCAUGUGAAAGGCGAGAACUCUUUUAGCUUCCUUUCAGGGUUCAGUAAUUAAGCUUCAAGUAAUUUUCUAUAGAAUAGCGGACAUAGUUUUGAUGAAAUUUUUUUCGUUGUCGUUCCCAGGAACUAUAUGCAAAACUAAAUAGGAUGGCGAGCAUAGCUACAGAAAUGUUUGUCGGCAGGGAAAGGUUUGCUACAUUGUUACUGAUGAGACUUACUGAGACAGUCAUAUUAUGGCUCUCAGAAGAUCAGAGCUUCUGGGAAGACAUUGAAGAGGGACCAAAACCUUUGGGUCCUCUUGGUCUUCAACAGGUAAAACUUUUUUUUUUAGCUACUUUCUUCUUUUAUCGAUCGAUCUGUUUUAGCUGCUGCUUAUUAUUUAUUUUUCCCUCUGUAGUUCUAUUUGGAUAUGCAGUUUGUGAUCCUUUUUGGACAUGGCCGAUUCUUGUCACGGCAUGUUCAUCAAGUUAUAAUUGACAUCAUUGAAAGAGCUAUGGCCGCAUUUUCUGCUACCGGCAUGAACCCAGACAGGUAAUAUAUUUACUUAUCAUGCCACAGUAUAUAUGUUUCAUCGAAACAAAUUAACUGCUUAUUGCAUGCUUUCACUUGAUAAGAUCUCAAACUAAUUUGCUAGCAGUUUGUUAAUUACUCUGACCAUUUCCAUCUCAAAUUCGUUCAGCAGAAAUGCUGUUUCCCGUGGUUGCUAUUUUCGUAUUAAUACUCCAUGUAGUUACAUUAUAGUGUUUCUGCAAGAUUUGUUUCCAGAAUUCGGCUAGUUACGUUAUGGAUUUCAUGCAGUGUACUUCCUAGUGAUGAUUGGUUCAUCGAUGUUGCCCAAGAUACAAUAAGUAAGAUAAGUGGAAGAGCGAGGGUUGCAAAUGGAGAUAGGGAACUUAGCAGCCCAACUGCCUCCGUUUCGGCACAAUCCAUGUCAUCAUUCAGAUCACAUGGUAGUUCCUGAUUUGUGCUUUUCUGGUUUUUUUUUUUUUUUUGGCAAAAAAGCUCCUUGUAUGAUAAGAAAUAACCAUUUUGUUUGUUGUUCUUCUCUCCCAUUCAAUAUUUGUGCUAGUGUAGGCCAUUGUUUAUCUGUUUUAGGAAAUCUUCGGAUUCUUUUUCAUGGAGUUUGAGGCUGCAUAUGUUGCCCUUUCUGUAUACAGUCCAAGCUCUACUGUGUACCAUUCUUUCAUCAGUUUGCCUUUCUGAGCUGCUUCAUUCUUGAUCUAUGCCUUUCUCUUCCGCGCUAAUAAUUUGUGGGAAUUUUAGAAUUGAUUUUGAAGAACAUAAAUAAAAACAAGCAACAUAGGAUUUUGAAUUUGAAUUGAGACACCAAAAUAUAAUUAUGUUAAUAAUUUGAAGGUCAUUAUGUUAAUUGAAGUGCUGAACAUCUUUUUUUUUUAUGGGAGGGAAAGUAUUGAACAGUUUUAUUGCUAUUGCUGUACAGUUUUAAGUAGUAACUGGCAAGUUGUAAUUCUCCUCUGCUUGGAACCAUGAUUCUUCUUUCAUUUAUAUUUUUAACUCAUAGUUUCACUGUACCACUAGUAAGCAGGGGCUUUGCUUAUUUCUUUCUCAAAAUAAUGGCCAAUUUGCUGUGGGAGAUUUUGCUGUCGAAGUGCUUUCGACAAUCUAGUCCAAAAUGGUAAGCAAACUAAAUAGUCCAAAAUGGUAAGCAAACUAAAACAAAAGUAAGCAGUUCAGAUUUAGUUUUCUUUUGCUUGUUCUUUUUCUUUUUCUUUUUGUUUUGUUUGUGUGUGUAUGUGGCUAAGUUACAGAAUUCUCUCGGUGCAUUUAAGCUCAUGUCUUAAUUACCCCUCGGUGUUAAAAAUUACAUAAAUUUUCACUUUAGAUUUUGUUUCCAAGUCAAAAAAGUCUAAAAUUUGAAUAAUUAUUGAAUUUCGCUAGACAACUUUGUAGAACUAAAGUUUGCAGAUGGUGUUGGCAGCUUCGUUUAAAAAUACUGGUUGAAAGUACUAAACAGUAUACACCUAUUUUGGUGAUAAAAAGAAGAAACACUAUAAAUGGUAGAAAAAAUAGUUGAGAUUUGAGAAUAAUUUGAAAAAACACUUGCCAAUGGAUCUAUACUUUCCACAGCAGGAAAAACUCUAAAAUAUAGUGGUGACACCUCAUCAUUUAUAUCUCUAAUCAAUUAAAUCAAAUCGAGUUCAUAGAGUUCACCUCUUCCAUCAUAAAUUUGUUUUUUAAAAAAUUAUUAUACUUUUCUAUCAAAGUAAAGAAUUUGAUUGGUUGAGAUUUAUAUAAUGUGGUGCCACUACUAUAUAAAAAGCUACGUGGCUUUAGAGAGAAUCUGUAUGCUCUUUGCUAGUGCUUUUUUUUUUUUCUUGUUUUUAAGAGAUAGGUAGCACACUAUCCGUUUCGUUUAUUUUAUUUAGAAAUAAAUUUAGCUGGAAAUGUGAAUCAACUAGGAUUCGAAUUUGAGACCUCAGAUACUAACCACCAAGCAUUUUGCCAGUUGCUCUAGGAACGGUCGGUAUUGCUGUUGCUAUCUUAAACAAUAAGUUUGUUGACGGCAGUAGUAUAAGGGUUAGCGAAAAAUUAAUAAUUUAGUGGUGUGUUUGAAAAUGAAAUAAAUAGUAUACUGUAGCAAAAGAAAUAAGUCUCUGUAUAGAAAUUGGUGAGAAAACGCUACAUUAGUGAUGCAUUUGAAAAUAAAAAUAAUUCAUAAUAGUAAAUAAAAAAAAUAAAUAUUAAAUCUACACUCCGAAGGGGUUCAACCCUUAAUCCAAGAGUUUUUGAGUUUACCAAUUCUUUUAGGGUUUUUAAUAUGCAUACAUACAUACCUGCAUACGUACCUUGACGUCACGAACACUGAUACGAGAUACGACACGACUCGAACACUGUGAUCCAACAGUUUUCAAAAAAUUAGGACACAAACUCGGCGUAAACACCUCUAAAAUAUAAUAUUAUUAAUAUAAUAAUAUAUUUUUAUUAUAUAUAAAAUAUUAAUUUUGGUAAAAUAUUAUUAUAUUUUUCAUACGAAUGAAAGUUAGUAAAUUUUUCAUUGACAGUUUAUAUAUUUUAAGAAAAAAAAUUCUCCAUCAUACAUAAUUUAUUUAUAUUAUCAAUAUACAUUCAUCAAAAAGCUAAAGUAUUUAUUAUCUUAUAUUAUAUAUGGAUAGAAAAAGUAAAAUAAAAAUAGGUAUAUAUAUUUUUUAGUUGUAUAUGUUAUGGAUCGACAUUAAACGAACGUCCGAGGAAUGUCCACAUCGGACACGCGAGGCUUAUAUAAGUGUCCGUGAUACGUAGAUACAUACAUAUAUAGUAGAGUUGAACUGAAAUGCUAUUAGUAGUAAAUGAGUUCUAUUGUUAUCUAUUUAUUUGCGAUAAUGUAACCUCCAAAUUGACGAUUGAUAUUAUUGAGCAUGAUCUAUAUUCUAUAUCACUUGAAGUAUCUAUAAAUUAUAUUUUAUAUUUUUUCAAUAUUGUUCUCUUGUCCAUUAAAUGGACACAAAAGUUAACAUUUGAAAAUGACUAUCCUUCAAAAAGUGAUGAUAGGAGUCUUGUAAUCAAGAUCAAGAGUAUAGAUCUUGUUUUAAAGAGUUUCAAAAAUUAUCUAAUCAAAAUUCAAUCGACUUGGAUAUCUUUACGUCGUUAAAUAAAAAAACGUCUUAUAUCGACCAUUAAAAUUAUAAAAUUUGCAAUCCUUUGAACAUUAGAUCAAUGAUGUCAAAAAGAUUUGAUAUUAUGCUUUUAGAUAUUUAAAAUGGUAUAGAUCAUUUUUAACCGUGUGGAUUCCAUCAUAAUUUAAAAAUAUUUUUAUUGUGUUUUUCUCUUGAAAGAAAAAAAUAUAGUAAACUGUAGAUAAAUGAUACAGUAUAGUUGUUAGUUGUUACACACUAGACUUCCUCCCCGUGGAGAGACUAGGGAUGUCAUUCAAGAUGGAUAUUCGAAGUUUUAUCUAAAUUUGAACUCGAAUGAAUCGGAGAUAUCAUAUACUAAACGGAAAUAAUUUCGGAUAUGAAUAUAAAAAACGAAAACUGGACGAAUUUGGAUUCGGGUAUAGAUUUUAACUGUACCUAAAUCCGACCCGAAUCCGAAUUAAUUUUACAUUAUAUAUAUAUAUAUAUAUAUAUAUAUAUACACACAUAUAUUUGAUGUUAUAUUUAAAUUUAUAUUUUAAAAAUUUAGAUUUAACGUAAUAUAUUUUUGAAAUAUUGUAAAAAAAAUAAUUAUUUUGGAUUCCAAUUUGCUGGUUCGGGUUUAGCUUCAGAUUUUUUGAUUUUUGGUCGGGGGUCCGGAUUUGAAUAUAAAUUUUUAAAAUUCAUAGGGUUCGGGUACAGGUUCGGAUUUUUAAAACCCGCCCGAAUCCGAUCCGUUGGCAACGGUAAAUAAAUAAAUAAAGGUACUCUCCAGAGAGAUAUUUUGAGAGAGAGAAAGAGAGAGAGAGAGAGAGAAGGGGGGCGCUAAUGGCGGCGGAGUGGGGAGAGGGAGAGGGAGAGGGAGAGGGAGCGGCGGCGGCGGCGGCGGCGACAUGGUGUGGGGAGACGGUGCCCCGCGUGAUGGCGAUCGUGAGCGAGAGGGGGUUUCUCCCGCAGCGCGACGUCCACUCCCUUCUCCUCGUUAGCACCUCGUGCUACCGCGCCCUCCUCUCCAUCCCCGCCCCCGCCCUCUGGGAGGUACUUGCGAAGAACCAAAACCCUUCUUAGAUUCGUCUUCUUUGUCAUGCCCAAUUUCCUCGGCGCUGGUCACUCGAAUCAUUCAGACCUACUUUGGUUAAAUUUUUUUUUUUUUUUUUUGAUGAAAACGUAGAAAACAUGUUCUGCACCCGAAUCGGCUGCUACUCAACCUUUCAAAAUUUUGAUUUUACUACCCAAUCUUUCGAUUUAUUUGAUUUGAGUUGGUUAACGGUCUUUGACUUCAAAGUUUAAAAAGCGGCAUUUAUUUUUAUUAGUUAUUAGUUAGCAUACUUUAUGUGAUUCUCGUAACUAUAGAUUUAUUAAAGUGAGUAAUCAGCUUAAAUUUUGAAGUUAAAGUAUCAGUGACUGAUUCAAAUCAAACAAAAUUGAAAGGUUAGACAGUAAAAUUAAAUUUUUUGAAAAGUUGGUAAGUUCUAUAAUGAGUAUACUUUGGAAAGCAUAAUCAAUCUUUUCUAUUCUAAGGCUAAAAUUGCUAUAAGAACAGUAAGAACCCGAAGUAUUUCAUGCUUUGAAAAGAAGCGCAGAAUAUUCAAAAAGUACUCACAAUCUUUCCAAUUUCAAAAUCUUCUACUCUAAGGAUACAAAAUUGUGGUGAGCACUGAAGGUAUUGGAGAAAGAGAAAGAUUGAAAGUGCUUUUGAAUAUUUUUGGCAUUUCAGAACCUGAAAAUACGUAGUUGUAGAUGCCGUGAUUCCAAACUUGGUCUGAGAAAGUGUCAAAAUUGGUAGUUGUAGACACCGGAUUCCAAACUUGGUUUGAGAAAGUGUCAAAAUUGGUAGUUUAAGCCAUGAGGUCUUAUAUGAAAAGAAAAUGGGCAGAAAGAAAAGAAAGUUAGAAGAGAAUCGUUUUCUCUUAUUUGAAUUGAAAUCCGGAAGAGAAACGAAGAAGAAUAGAGCGAAAAUAACGUACGUAACGAUCAAUUGCUUUUUUCUGCAAGAGCAGAGAAAAAGUAAGAGAAAGUUAUUUUCAUUUCAUUUCUUUUUCUCUUUUUCUUUUUUAUUCCGUUCUCUUAUUUAUUUUCUCUUCUUUUCUCUCCAUGCAAAUGAAACAUUAGUGAACUAGCAAUCUUAAUUUUUGAGUGGAAAAAAUUGUACCCAGAUUGAUCAAUUUUUUUUUUUCUUAAUGGCCUUUUAUGAUGGCCAAAGUUGGGCGGGUGAAUAUGAAGGAUUUAGCUUGGCAAACGGAGAUCAUCGCCAAUUCCAUGCGGCAAUUUGUUUUUUUUUUGACAGUUUGAACUUCUCCUGGUGUCAAACCCCAAUUCCCGUAUUCCUGCAUUCGAUGAAAUUGAGAACUAGAUUGCUGUAUAUAACAUAGUAUUAACUAACAUGGGAUAAAGCAUUUUGAGCCGCAUAGUUUAGGUUCGUCAAUUGUUCGUACCUGUGCGCUAGUUGGGUUUAACACAUGGAGUUGCUGUUAUUUAUCUAUUGCUGCUUCAGUGUAUGCAAGUUUACUGUUAUUGGCUCUAAUAUUGUUUUAACUCAUGUCCCUAACCAUGUAAUACGCCAGGUUCUUGAUCUGCAUGAGAUGAAAAACGCAGGAGAUCGACUUGUUUCUGCACUUUCACUGGUAUGUUUCACCGUAAUAUUAGGCUCAUCAUCAAGCACAGUUUGUAAUGUGAUUUUGCAUGACGAGGAUUGUCUGCCAGAUAAUGAGUGAUUUUAUCUUGUGUUAUGGCAUUUUAUACCUUUUGGAACUGUAUAAGGUAUCAUUGUCUGCUGCUGCUCGGAUUUUAGUUUUUUUUUUUUUUUUUUUCCCCUCGUGUGUGCAGCCCAGGUAUCGACAUGUGAAAAUGAUUAACCUUGAAUUUGCCCAAGAUAUUGAAGAUAGACAUCUACUUCUUUUGAAAAGCAAGGUAAUCACAAAUUGCCUGUGAGAAAUUUUAUUCAUCAGUAAAUUUGUUGUUGACGUUAUAAUAUAAUUUCUCCCUUUUCUUUGGGAUUUCUUACUUUGAAGUACACAAAUCCCUUGCUACUUGUGUUAUUAGAAAUUGUAUAAGUUUUAGCGGCCCAUUUCCUAUUCUUUUAAACCGCUAACAUAAGAUUACUCCCGAAAUCAAAUUUUGGAAAUAAUUGGGUGUAGACAUUGAAACCUCCAGUAAAGUGAUAGUGAAUGUCAAUUGAAGAACCAUACCAAAUUUGUCUUUAUUAUCUCGAAAGAAAGAAUCCAUCCCUAGGUUAUUUUCUUUUCAAACCGAGAAUCCAUCUUCAUUUAUAAGUAUUGUAAUAUUGGAAUUGCUUAACUUGCGGCACAUUUAAUUACAAGUUACGAGGAAAAGUAUUUAAAAGGUUAAUAGAGAAGGCACAUAAUUUUGGAUCGUUAGUGAGUAGAUAACACGGGUUGAGCAAUAGGUUUUCCGUAGGACCAAUUUAUUGGCAACUAAUACUGCCCUGUUUUAAAAUCAAGCAAGGUUCUCUAGAAACAAUUAGGGCUAGCUAUUUAGGGGCCCAAAGGAGCAGUAAAUGGGUCCUCACAGAGUGUUUAUUAAAUUGUUUGGACGCCAUAGAAGUAAGAUUAUUAUUAUUUGCACAUAAGUUUUUUUUUUUUUUUUGGCUACAUUCUUCAGUUCAUUUCGUAGUGUUAUGAAAAAUUUUGUACCGUUAGUUGUAAUUACAAUUUUCUCAACUAUAGAAACUGUCCUGUUAAUUUACUUGGCCUGUGUUUACCUCAGGUUUCUGUUUGCUAUGGUGAAUAACAUUUAGCUUGCUGAAUAUCUGAAUUUUACUUCUGUGAAUAUCUAUUAAUAACCCUUUAUAAAGUUUUUUUUUAUAAAAUAUUAGAACACAUAAUUUUUUGUGAUUAUUUUCCAAUUCAUGUUACUGUUAUCAGAGCAAUAUAUUAUUAGUUUCAUAUGUAUGUCUCGCACAAGGCUUGCUUGUUUAGUCUGAACUGUAUCAGAUGUUUUUCGGGCAGAAUAUUUCAUUAUGGAGUAAAUUUAUGCAGAGCUCCAAAGUCAUUUAAAAUUUUAAAUGCUUAGUCCUAACCGGAAAUUAUGUUGGUCACCUACUGGUACUUGAACUGAUCCAUCUCUUAGGCGUGCACACCAAUAUAUGUUAUUCACACCCAAAACCAUUUAAAAGUAUAAAAUAUCUCUGAGGCAAAAGAUUUGGUGUUUGUACUGUUUAGAUUGGUUUCUAAAAGCUCUUGUGUCUAAGAACAGAUUGAAAAUGAGUGGUUUUAAAACCAUAUGAUACAUAAUUUACCAAUUGGAUCACUUUCAGUUCUUUGCACCCACUGGGCCCUGUGAACUUUACUUCACAUAGUGAAACAUAACAGGUUUCCAGAGCUGAAAAAUCAUCUCUAAACAACUCGCAUUCAUCCAAAAUUGAUCCAUUUGAGUUAUUGGGCCAUGCUUCACUGAAAGUUGUCUCUUAUAAAAUCAAACAACGUUAACAUUUUAAUCCUUUCUGUUUGAUAGGGAAUUGAUUUACUUCAAGAUUUGGAGACUCUAAAUCUGAAUGCAUGUCAGAAGAUCUCCGACAAAGGAAUUGAUGCUAUAACCAGCAUUUCUCCAAAUCUUCGGGCUCUCUCUAUUUAUUGGAAUGUUGGGUAUGCUUGUUGUUGAAGAUUAUUUAAAAGAUUUUAUGGAGUUUAAGUUCUUAAAAAUAUAUUGCUUGUCAUCUGUGUGAUUGAUUACAUAAUGUUGUUUGCUUAGGCUAACUGACUUAAGCAUACAGUACAUCGUGAAGAACUGCAGACAGAUAGUUGACUUGAACUUGAGUGGUUGUAAGGUAAUACAAAACUUCAGUAGUCUUCAUUUUUUAAAAUUUUAAUUUUUUUAAAUGUGUAGUGCUUUACCUUAAAUGAUUCUCCCUUAUGUGAUUUUUCUUGCGUUACUUAUCUCAUUUGUUCGUUAAUGUAGUGGAUUCAUGAGUGUGUUUGUGAGUAGCUCUCUAUGUGGAUGCUCUUUCUUUUUCAUAUCUGGAUGUUUUGAAUUGGAUAUGUUUCACUGUAGCUAAAACCUAUACUCAUUAUCUUGUAAAUCAUGAGACUAUAAAACAAUCUUUUCAGAUCUAUUUUAGUUGUAGCUGCAGCCAAAAACAUUUGAAAAGAAGUUUAUAACCAUGAAGAGAUAACAUCUGUGCCCUCUAAAAUCGCCAUCAUUGUAAAUGUUGUCUCCAUGGGCAUUAUUUAUUUACUGGACCUAAUAAACAGGGCAUAAAAAUGCUUGGGUUUCAACGAUGCUAUAAAGGAACGACUUGAUGAUUUUUAUGUAAUAAUAUGAGGGAAUUGAGGAUUUUUUUGUAAAUAUGGUGUACUUAAAAAAUAUGGCUCCUGUUAGAUGUAGCAUUUUGCCUUAUAGAUUGCACGUGAUUUUCUAUUCCAUUCAGCUUUUUACUCUUUUGCAUGAUGUUGUGAUCGACAUUUAAUGAUGUGAUGCAGUUGUUUACUUGGCUGUCUAAUUGCAGAAAAUUUCAGAUAAAAGUUUGCAUCUAAUAGCUGAUAACUACCAAGGAUUGGAGAGUUUGAAUAUCACCAGGUAAAAUGUAAUAUAGUGUGGAUAUUGCAUUUGUUGAUCCUUGUGUUGAUCUUGUUGACCUGCUUUUAUCCUUCAAUUUGGGUCCAAAUGCACGAAUUCAAUGUGGGAAAAUACCCUGUUUUUCUUAUUUCCACCUAUGCAUAUGGAAAUUAGUACUUCAAUUCAAGAUGGAUGCUGUUGAAGAAUAUGCAUGACUUUUUUUUUGACUAUAAGGCACAGGGUGAUUCCCUAUGCAAUUCAUUAAAUAUAAAAAGAGAACAGGAUAGUACCUCAUAUCCUAGCACAACCACUAACCAACUAUAGUCUAACAAGGAAAUGAAAAAUCAAAGAGCACACAUAUUAUAGCAGUAUCUAUGUCCAAGCAAAACCAAAAGCAAAAAAAAAAAGAAAAAAAAAAGAAAUCCCAAAAAGCUUGCGUCAUGCAACUUUAUUUGAGUAAAUGUCCGAAAAGCUAGUCAUGCAUCUUACAUUGAAAGCCUUUAGAUUUAAGCUGCCUCGAAUAUAAGAUCCUCAGGGAUGAGAAUCCUGCAUGCCUUCCUGAUCGGAUGAAGAUCUUUGACUGUCAAAGGAUGCCGAAAGGUUGAGCUUGAAGUUGUGGGGUCAAGGGAGGAUGCAUCAAACUGCGGUUCCACCAAGGUGGGUGGUGGAGUUGAAGAAGCGGUCAUAGCAGAAGGGAUGGAUGCAAAUAUGUAUUUGAGACUCUUAAUCUCGUUCAUCUGAUCCAUAAUGCUGCAGUAAGAACCCGUGAACUCUGAAGAGAGGCGAUCAUUGCGGCGAGAGGGAGCAAAGGGAAACAAAUACGAGGGGGGGGGUGUGGAGGAUCAGAACCAGAUGAUAUGAGAGGAUGAGGAAGAGGUGUGGGAGAGAAAGGGACGCCAAAAGAACGAGAUGUGGAGCAGGAAGAGUUCGGUUGGUCAAGGACUCCGCCACAAUUGAUGGAGCAGAAUCAAGAAGAGGGCGAGUAGGAGGAAGCAGAAGCAGAGUGUUGUUUUACUGCCUUCCUCUUAUGCAUGACUUAAUGAUGCUGGAGCAUUUCAAUUGGGGAUCCCUAAGUUAGAAAUGAUAUGGAGUAAAGUUUCUAGAAACUAAAAAUCACGAUUUUGAGAUUGGUUUCAUCUAUACUAUAGAUAAGACAGCAUUUUAGAUAGGAUAGAAACACUACGAUUUAAUACACUUUUUGUGUUUCUCUUCAGAUGUGGAUUUGAGAAUCCGUUUAUCUGUUAAGUUUACAUAAGAAAAUUAUUUAUACUUAUAAAUGACUCGGAUUUUAAUGUCUUAUUAUUUAUGCACUUGAGCCAAGUAGUCAAUACUUUUUGCUUGUCAUCACCCUGGGAGUAUCUGAUACUUUUUAUCUCAUAUGACGUUUCAGGCUUUCAACCUAAUUGUUUUAGCACUACUAUGAGUAAUAUUUUGUAAUUACCAGUACAUAGCAGCCUUUGCAUUCUGUGCAGCAGAUGGACUUUUCCUUCUAAGAAUGUGUGUUCUAAUUAUGCGUUAGCGUUACAGUUCAAAAUAUCAGUUUCCAUAUUUUGUAGGUGCAUCAAGUUAACAGAUGAUGGAUUGCAACAGAUACUUCUAAAAUGUUCUUCCCUUCAAAGUUUGAAUCUCUAUGCCCUUUCCAGGUAAUCAUGGAAAAGAACAUGUUUCUGAUUCACUAUGAAUAUUGUGUAAUAUUGGAGCUAGGUUAAUUGACGACUUUUACCUGCAGCUUCACCGACAAAGCUUAUGAAAAGAUAGCAUUUCUAUCUAAUUUGAGAUUCCUAGACCUUUGUGGAGCCCAGGUACUAACUGAAAUUUCCUUUUACCUAACAUAAUCAAACCUAUAGCUAAUAUUGUCACAGUAAAUUUAUUGUCAGAAUCUAAGUGAUGAAGGUCUUUCCUGUAUAGCGAGAUGCGCAAAGUUGGUUUCUCUCAAUUUGACUUGGUAACUCAGGGCUAAUACCUCUAUCUAUAUAUAUAUUUCCUUUCAAGUUGGUUAAUAAGUGGUAUAACAAGCACUACCUUACAGGUGUGUAUGUGUCACUGAUGUGGGAGUGGUAGCUAUUGCACAAGGCUGUAGGUCUCUUGAGUUUCUUAGGUAAAUUGAGGACAGCUCAUUUGCAUUGAAGCAAGAAUUCAUGUUGUGUAUCUUAUACAAAAAAAUUUGAAUGUAUAUGCAGCUUGUUUGGAAUUAUUGGUGUGACUGAUGCUUCUCUUGAGGCCCUAUCAAAGUCUUGCUCGAAAACUCUAACGACUCUUGAUGUAUAUGGAUGUACUGGCAUUAAGGUCGGGUAACAUUACUAUUAUUAUCAAGGGCUUAUUCAUGUGGCUUUUCCUUUUUUUUUUUUUUCUGAUUUUUCUUUUUUUUCUAUUUCAAUUGUUUGUAGAGAAGGAGCCACAGUGACUUGCUUCAGUUAUUCCUGAAUCUGAAGUGCUUCAAAGUGCACAGCUAGUGUUGAAUUCGGAGCUCAACAUUACGUUGCUCGUGUUUUCAUGAUUAGUUCAUUCUUCCAUAUGGACAUGAAUUCCACAGUAUCUCAGAGGUACAAGAUGAUAUAGAUCAGUGUUCUUGUUCUCUUUUAAAAUUAAGAAAUUAAAAUCUCCUCUGCAAAUCUGCUGAGUUUUAGGCAUUCUUUUUCUCAAGAUUCUUUAAUUGUUGUCUUGCUUUAUUAGAAAACAUGUAUCUUAAACCUGUUUUUAUAGGCAGAGAAUAUAGUGUAACUUAUUGUAAAGUACAACAAAAUCAUUUAUAUGGCACUAGCAUGUGUAAAAUUUGUUUUUUCUUGUUGAGUCUACCAACAAGAACCUGAAACUCCCCUGUUGCCUACUGUAGCUAUUCAUUAUAUGGGCAUAACUAUUCAAGUCAAAUAAGAAGAUGCUGCACUGUCCAUGAUUAUGAUGGGCAUGUAUUGCAUAGUAACUCUAUGAUCCUUUCACUUUAGGUGAUAAUAACUGGACUUCAUAAUUUCGGGCGAAAAUAUAUGUUCAACUCGAGAAACCCUUUUUUGAGAGCCAUAUCGACCGCUGAGCAUGCUAUUUUGGAGAAUUCGUCAAGCUCUUUUCCUCCUCAGCAGUGAACUCCUACACCACUUAGUAGUAGAAGAAUAUCUCUAUCCUCUUCACAAACUGCGUCAAAAUGAAUUUAAAUUAUCUAACCACUGAAAACUCUCAUCAUAGAAUGGAUCUCUUAAGAUGUUAUGCUGACAAGUUUCGCAUUCAAAGUUACGAGAACAAAAAGAGAAAUCAUAACUUUACAUCUAGGCUAUAUCUCAUUAGGCUGAUUCUGAUGAACCGAGAAGAUAGAAUGUACAUAAGUUAUUUGCAAGUGCUAGCCUAGUAUACUUAUCUAUAGACUACAAAGUGCAAUCACAAGGAAGAGUGUGUUAAGUGUAUUGAAAUGAUGCCCUAUUUAAACUGGAUUCCAAGGGCACAUCGUUUCAAUAUCUGAUUCGGUGAGGUGCUAUGUUCUGUUCUAACUAAUCAAAUUUGAGAAUGUUUCGUGUAACGCCCCCAAUAGUCCUAUAUCGGAUGGGAUACUGAUUCCGAUCAGUUUAUAUGAGGUCUAUACGCUAGUUAUAAUAAUUGGGCUUAAGCAUCUUGGGCCGGUUGUUUGGGCGUAACGAGUUAUUAUUGCUAGCGGGUCGGAUUGUUACAUUUGGUAUCAGAGCCGAAUACCAGCCGGAAGUGUGAGAACUAAGUGCUAAACGGGGCAAAGUGCUACACCAACCAGUUUGGUGGCAGCCACCUCUUGAACCCGUAGGAGCCACCUUUAGAAUUUCACAUUGCCUGGUAAUUCUUGUUCUGGUCUAUCUGUCUGUCUGAGUUUGGACCUGAUGAGGACGUCAGGGUCUAAAUAGGAGAAGUUUGUAACGCCAGGACGUCAAGGUCUAAACAAGGGGAGUUUGUAAUGCCGAGUUUGUAACGCCAAAUAAUCCCACGCCUCCAAUAGUCCUACAUCAGAUGGAUACUGAUUCCGAUCAGUUCAUAUGAGACCUUCCACGCUAGUUAUAAUAACUGAGCUUAAGCAUCUUGGGCCGAUUGUUUGUGCCUAACGAAUUAUUAUUGCUAGCGGGUCGGGUCGUUACAUUUCGUGAGCCAGAUCAUAGGCUAGUUCCUAUCUUCAACUAAUUGCUCCCUCAAUAAAUGAAAACACAGCUCUUUGGGCAAACAGGGAGUAUGUUGUUGUAUCAUUGGUUAGAUUUGUCCUAAAGGUGAAUUUACUAUUCAGAAUAUAAACAUCUCUCUAAGUCAGGAAGAGAACUUAUUUGUAGCUCAAAAUAGUCUUUCGAGUCAAAUAAGCCUACGAAAUUAUUCGCUGAAGCUUUGGCCUUUCUAAUAUGCAUAUUAUUAGAUGAUGGUGAACUUGACCAACCUCUUUGUUGAGGUUGCAAACAGUGACUGUAAGCUCCAGGUACUCAAUGAUGAAAAUCCUACAUUCCCAAAGACAAGUGCCAAUACCAAUAAACUUUUGCUUAUUAACCUUAGUCAAUAUGUUGUCAACUUGUUGUAAUCGAUACAUGCUUUACAUUUGGUUACAUUUAAAUUCUGAAUGUUAUUAUUAGAAAAAGGUAGGCAAAGUUUCCUAAGUUUAUUUGGCAAUAUAGUUUUGGAAUUACUUCGUCUAACUUGCUCAUUUUUGUGCCAUUUUAAUUGGAGUGCAGCGAUAAGAUAUUGGAGCCAGAAGCCGUUUCCGUUAACGGCCACUGCAAACUGGAGUCUGCCUCUCUCGCUGUUAAAACUAAAUGUCAGGCGAAGGAAACUUUGUUACAUACCAUGGAGGUUUGUAGAACGCAAGAGCUAAGCAUCUUCGCAAUGAAAUGGUAAUUUCUCCAUACUUGUUUUCGGCAUCUCUAACUUAUGUCAGUGACAGCAGCAACUGGACAUUACCUUUCCUGCAAAACAAAGCCGAAGAACAACUUAUUGAAGCACAUUUAGACACUGCAUAAUGCAAUCGAAUCAUAUAGCAAUAACUUAGCAAUGAAAAUGAAGGAAUGCGGAGUUAGACGGUCCCGUGUCGAGGAGAGAUGACACCCGCUCCGAACGGUAACCCGAUCCGCCGGUGUGGGUGUCAUCUCUCCUGACAAAGGUCCCUAACCCCUCUAGUAGUCUCCUCAUUCAAUAUCUUUUCUUGUUUCUCCUAUAUGCUUCGUAGGCAUAAACUCAUAAGGUUAUAUAGAGAAUGGGGAGCUUUUCUUUUCUUCUUCUUCGUCGUUUGCAUUCACAUUGGCCUGGUCAAAGCAUAUGGCCAUUUUAAAUGUUUGGCCAAUGAAACCACGUGCUUUCAUGUGGAAUUUUGGGUCCUCAUAAGCAUUGGAAAAGUGGAAUUUUGAGUUCUCACAAGCAUUGGAAAAGUGGGUCAGUGUGGUUUAUUAAUUGUAGGGUUAAUUGCACCAUUGGUCCCUAACCUUUACCUUUUUGUCUAAAUUCCUAUUAAUUUUGACAGAAUAGAUCAUGCCAACUGCGAUAAAGUGUUGCUUAUUCAUAUAGAUUACAGUCAUAGUACAAUAGCUCCUAAUCACUAAUGAAUCAUGGUACUGAUUUUUUAAACGUUUGAAAGAACUUGAUGGCACGACCAGCUUGAUGCUAAGGACGUCAGAUACUCCAAAAGAGAUAAUAGGGGUCGUGUAAGCGGUCGAGGUGGUCUUAACAGUGGAGUACAAAAUUGAGGAUGGUGAGAUUGGGAUUGACGUGAUAUGCGCACAUAAUAUAAGGGGUCUGGGGCUGUUUAAUUUUUCGGAAAAGUAUGGAAAAAAAGUGUUUUUGAGAACAAAUUUUUUCAUAGAAAGCUCCUUUUUUAUAGUUUUUUUUAUCCAUCUGGUUCCAAAAGAAUUAGCUGUUGUGGAAAAAAAAAUUCCAUAUUUUAUAGCAAAUUAAUGCUUUUUUAUUUUUCCAAAAAAAGGGGAUGAAAUGUGAAAAAAAAAAAGAUUUUUCCAAAAAGGCUAGUUCUUAGAGCAAAACAGGCAGAAAAUUUUUUAAAAAAAACCUUUUUCGUGACAAAAUUUUUGGCAAAACUUAUUUUUGCAUACUUUUUUGGGAAUCAAACAACUCCGUGAAAACUAAAGUAGAAAAUAGAAAGAAAGGGUGAAGGUUAGGAACAAAUUUGGCAAGUAAUUUCAAAGGUUAAGGAUCUAAUUGUAAAAAGUAAAAGGUGGGGAACCAAAAUGAAAACAAGGUAAAGGAUGGGGACCCUUGAGCAAAUUAAACCUUAAUUGUAAAGUCUACGGCCGACCAAGAAAUUGUUUGGACUUUGUUUUGCAUUAUUAAUUAUUAGGUGUUCCCCCACACUCUGCUUUCCCCUGCUUUACAGGUCAUACUUGAAACGUUUUGGUACUAGGAUGGUCAUUAUUUGUUGGUCAAGUGCUUUGCAUAAAGACAUUUUUGUUAGAUCGUUGGUACUAAUUAUUAAUCUUAAAAGUUUUAACCAUUAGAAAUAUACAAUCAAUUCAUUUAAAUCGGAUAGACACAAUAGUUACGGAUCUCGAUUGUGACUCGGUCUAAUCAGCUUCAUGUUAUUUCGAACAUGACUGAGUUUAAUCUAAUCUCAUGCCUUUUCGAAUGUGACUUGGUCCAACCUGACUUUUCGCCGCAUGGCAAAAUGUUGGCUUCUUUAAGCCAACAACUUUGGCUCUCUAAAUUCCUCAAUAGAUAUAUUUGUUGGUCCAGUUGCAUGCAUAAUCCUUACAAAGCACUACAAUUAUAUAUUUAUUCCUAUAAUAAAGUUUUAAAUGCUUUUCUUUGAUCCGCAAACUAUGAGGUGGGUGACACUUGGUGGCAAUAUCUAUCUCGAACUUUUAGAAUUAUUGCAACAAAGUCUUAUAAUUCAAUUUAAUUGACUAAAUGUUGAUGAAUCAGUAGAGUAAAAGUGACAUAGCAGUAUUGUGACUGAUAAUGCACUAAUAAUUUAAAUGUCACACCACUUUUAUUUCAGUGUUAUAGUAAUAUGUAGUUAAUUAAAUUGAUUUGUAGAACUUAAUUGUAAUAAUUUUGAAAGUUUAAGUUAGAAAUUACAACACAUUAAAAUUGAAGGAUCCAAGUGUCAGGUUUUUGAGGACCAAACAUGCAAUUUGCCUGAUGUUAAAAUAUAUUGACUAGCUUGCUCUCGAGGUCAUGGUCAACCAAGAAAAGCAUUUCAAAAAGGGAAAAAAAAAAAGGGCUAAAUUACAGUAAAUCCUCCUAUUAAAAUUUGAUUUUUCACUUUUUCUUCCUCAUUUAAAAAUUUACACUUUGUCCCUUUAUAAAAUAAAAAAUAUUUACAGAAAGGUACGGUGUUAACUGUAAUAAUAAAAUAACUAUUUUGUCACUCACCAUUUUGCCUCUUACCAUUUUCACAAGAGAGAAGGCUGAGAAUAUUUUUGGCAUAAAAAAUAUAUAAUAAUAUUUUAUAAAUAAAAUUUUAACGGAUUACUAACUGCAGGGGACAAAGUGAAUAUUUUUUAUUUUACAAGGAGUCAAAGUGUAUGCUUUUAAAUGACGGAAAAAAGUGAAAAAUCGGAUUUUGACAUAAGGAUUUUAUGUAAUUUAGCCAAAAAAAGAAAAGCAUUUUUAAGACUCGAGUAACAAUAAGAUCACGAAUUGAUCAUCACGAUUUAUUUAAUACCUUCUCGUUUUUGGUGGUACCCAAAGUUUAUUUCACUCUAAAUUUUUUAAAGCGACUCGUUUUAGUUAUUGUUCUUGUUUAUGGUUAUUAAUAAAAAAUAUUGAUUGCAUGUACAUGGUGUAUCUUUUUGUUUUUUUAUCCAUCAUUUAUGCAUUACACCUCUAUCAAUUUUUCAUCCAAUCAUCAUAUAUUAUUAUCGACCGUUACUAAUGCAGCUGGCUAAAAAAUUCAAAAAAGGGAAAAUAUUUUUCAUGAUUUUUUUUUUCUAGUUUUUUUGUUUGUUUGGUUCUAAAAGAAUAACUUUUUGCAAAACAAUUUCACAUUUCAUGGAAAACUAUUAUUUAAUUUUUUGAAUUUUUUUGGGAAACAUAAACUGUAGUUUCCUAUGAAAUUUGAAAAAAAAAAAAGAAAUUAGUUUUUGGGGAAAUCAAAUGGCCGGAAAAUUGAAAAAAAGAUUUUUUCAUGAAAGCUAUUUUUCAUGCACUUUUAAGGAACCAAACAGUUUUUAAAAACUUGAUAAAUGAUAUCCAAGGUUCAAAAUUUGAAAACGAGUUGUUUUACAUUCUAAGUUGAAUUUAUUUCAAAAAUAUGAUCGAAGCGAGUAGUUUGCUAUUUUUUUUUUUUAAAGAAAAAAAAAAUUCACCCAAUCGUAUAAUUUAAUCUUAAGCUACUUUUCUCUCAAAAAAAAAAAAAAAAUCAUCCAAUCUUAUAGUUUAAUCUUAUUAUAAGCUAUAUAAAUUUUUCUAUGCUUCAAAAUUUUGCCGUUGCAUCACCUAUGACGGAAUAGACUAGUGAUGCGUGAAUGUAUUAGCGAAUUGAGUUCAAGUAAUAAAUUUUUAUCUAAAAAAAAGGGCUAAAAUAAAACGACUCUAAAAAGAUUAAAAUUGGUUCUGGAAUAAGGGAGGAAUACGCUUUUGUUCUCCUUUUGUUUCCAAAUGCUAUGCCUGGUAUCCGAAAAUAGUAAUUUUCAGGUCUUUAGAGUAAGCUGGUAUAAUUCGGUAUAAAUUAGAACUCGGUAUAAAUUAGAACUGUUGUCUCACUCCUUUUCCUGAAAUAAGUUUGUUCCUAAAUAGGAACAAGGUUAAUUAAAGUCUAAAUUUAAUUUUAAUUAUUAUAUUAAAUUAUUAAUUAAUCUAAUUAAUAUAUUAAAUUAUUAUUCAUUGCCUAAAUAAUAAAGUAAUUAACUAAGUUAUUACUUAUAAUCAAUUAGCAAAUUAAUUAUUAAUAAUUUAAUGUAUUUAUCCAUAAACCAAUAUUUAUAUUAAUCAACCAUUAAUAUUUUUGUUAAUCUAAUUAAUUUUUUUACUAGUUAUCUAACUAAAAUAGUUUACUAACUAAUUAAAUAUUUAAAUUAUGUUUUAUAUUUAAUUAAUUAAUAUAGUUUCAUUAUCUUAUCCAAUAUUCAUAGCUAAUAAAUUUAUUAAUUUAUUAAAUAAUUUUUAAUUAAUAUUUGAUGUUAAUUAAUUAGAUAAAAUAUUUUUAAUUUAAAAUUAUAAUUUUUAUUCCUUCUGUUCCAAUCUAAUCAUAUAAACACUAUUUAUCUUAUUCUCAUAAAUAACUUUAUUUUCAUCAAAACGUAAAUUGGUCUAAUUUUUUGCUUAUACCAAAACUUGUAUCUAUUUCUGAAAUAAGUAAUUCUUAUUUAUACCUGAACCAAAUGUAGUCUAAAGUUUGCGACCUCCAAUGUCAAAGGAAAAGUUUCAUAACGAAAAAAAAAAAAAAGAGUUUCAAAAUUCGAGGACGACUAGUAAGGCAAUUCAUUUCCCAAAAAACAACAGAAAAAACACCAAAAAACCAAGGUUAGAGAAAUCUACUAUGGCCCUAUUUGGAUACUUGCAGACCUUCUAAGAAAAUGUCUAAAAAUUAAGGCAAAUAUAAUGUUCAGCUUUCAAGUGAAUUUUAUGAAAUAAGAUAAAUCAUCUUGAGAGAAAAAUACAUUAUCCCAAGAAAUAAUGGAUGUGAAGACCAUCAAAUGAGCUAAAGUAAGAUAAUUUUCGUAGUGCGUGACUUAGACUUAUUUCUAGAUAACUAAUUACAAUAAAAUUCCAAACAGACAUAUUGAAAUAACAGGGCAGAUGAUGUCACCCAAAAUAUUGAUCUAACAGCACUAACUCACGUGCAAGUGCAACCUCACGGAAUAAAAAGAUUCAAGAUUAGUUCAGAUACCGUAUUACUCAAGAGAUGGUGGAUAAAAAGAUUUUGAUCAAUCAGAGAGAAGGCAGCUUCUCUUGUCUCAGAAAAGGUGGCACAUGCUGUCACAGUGGUUGUAAGCUGCAGCAGGUGUCACCUUUCCUGCGACAAAAGAACCUGAUCUCUCCUAUUCCUUUGCUUGUUUAAUAUCCUUUGAGCCCUCCCUUAGCGUUCUCUUCUCUACUUUCUCCUAUUUAUAGUGGGAAUCAAUUCAUUCCAAAAACUCUUUUACACAUUAUUGGCAUUGUGGUGGGACCCAUGUUAAAACGUUGAAUGGUCAACCUAAUUCUUUGAACCACAUGGGAAUCUACGACCCCUUUUGGUUUGCCUAACUAAUAAUUUAGAUUCACCACUUCUAUAUCUUUGGCUAAAUUACACUUUUAGUCCCCAAAUUGUUUGGUCAAACUUUCUACAAUUUUACCGCCAAUCCUACGUUCUAAAUUAGUUGACUAAAUAUUGAUAAUUCGCUGCUGUAGAAGGGACAUGGCAAUGUGCGAUUGAUGUCACAAUAAUAAAAAUGUCACAUUACUUUUAAUUAGUGAUUCGUGAAUACUUAGCCAAGUAAAUUGGGUUGUGGUACAAUAAUUCCGAAUGAUCGAGAGAGAAAUUAUAAUAAAUUAAAAUUUGAGGACCGAACUGUCAUGCAGAUCAUAGUUUGAGGACCAAAAGUGCAAUGUUUAGCCUUCUAUUUUUUGAGUAAAAUGUAUGGAUAGUUCCCAUACUUUUCUACCUAGGAUAGAAAGCGGAAAAUGUACACUCCUUUUUCUAAGAUGUAUACUUGACAUUUUUCCUCCUUUACUAUCUCAACAUCACAAGUUGAUCCCAAUACUUUUACCUUAAAUAGUUUGGACCAAGGUUUAAAGUGCCGUGGCAUGGGGGCAUGCCGCUGUUUGCCUGGUAUGGUAUGGCAUCGGCACGCUUUCGUGCGAACACGUGGUACGCUUGUAUGCCGAUAAAUACGUAUGAUCUUCUACCGGUGCGUUUUUGUACAGACUAUCAUUUCAAUUUUUUUAUUUCAAUAAACUCUUAUAAUAUUAUUUUGAAAGAUUUAAUUAAAUAAUUAUAAAUAUUUGCUAUGUAUAGUUUAUUUAUACUCAUCAAUUAAUAUAUUUGUAAACUUUUUUAUAUAAAAUACAACUAUAACUGAUACAGAAUAAAAGUUUUUAUAUAUUAGAACUUUUAAAAUAUAAAUGCAUUUUUUUCUUUUUUUUUUAUCAUAUUAUAUUAUUUCUUUUAUAAAGUAAAAAAAUAAAUAUUUUUUUAAAUUAUUUUUAAAAAAUAUUUGAAAAAAAAUAUAUUUUUUUAUUAAUUUUUAAAAAAUUAUUAGAUUUAUAUAAAAAAAAUAAUUAUAAUUAUAUGAACAAAAUAAAUAUUAAUAAAUUUAAGUAUCAAUUGAUUUAAUUUAGCUUUUAAUUUUAUCAGAAUUUUUAAUUUUGUAACGCAAAAAUAAAAUUUUAUAUUUGAUAUGUCUUAAAUUGUUUAUUGAGUUCGAUUUUAUGCUCCUAAUUGGCCAAAAGUUUCACGAUGUGACAAAUUUUAAUAAAAUAAUUUGUGAAUAAAAACUGGAUAUCUGUGGUGGAAGCUCGGCUCCAGCUCGCAGACUGCAGUAUGGAUCUGAUAUAUAAAUUAAAAAUUUAUUCAUAUAUUGAUAAAUAAGAAAAAUUAAAUUAUAACUUUUUUGACUUACUUAAUAAGUAGAUUUUCGAUUUGUAAUGUUUUUAGGAGAUGUGAGCCGAGUAGUCAGAAUGCUUUGGGUAUCGAAAAAAAAAAAAAGUGAAAAAAAGCAAGGCACGGCACAGUGCCGCGGUAUUCACCCGGGUAUCGCAAUAUCUCGUGUGAUAACCGGGUGGGUACCGCGGCACGGCGGCGGUAUGAGACCCCCCUCCCCCCCCCCUCUACUAUGCCCUUUUUUUGGGGCACAGUAUGUGCCGCCUUGUGCCAUAUGAUACGGGACAGCAGUUUAAACCUUAAUUUGGACCUUAGAAUUUUACUUCAAUUGUACUUUAGAUCCCUUAAAAAAAUAAUGCUUUAACUUAUUUUAGUUUAAUCCAAGUAUGAUUAAAAUAUUAUUCUACAUCAAAAAUCAAGAUAAUUUAAAUGUUCAGGAUCAAAAGUGCAACGUAUAUGAAAUUCAUUUAAAUUAAAGGACCAACAUGCAAUAUUGGAAUAGUAGAGUAACAUUUUGUCUGCACUGAUGUACUCCAUCCCCGUCUUAUUGUGUUGACUGGUCGAAGGUCGACAUUGUUCUGGUAAUUUUGACCUGGUCAAUGUUUGAAUGGUCUUUUUUUUUUUUUUUUUCGUCACACGAAUAUGUCUCUUGGAGAGGACUUCGAUGCUAUAUUGAGAUUUCUUUUGGACUUACUUGCAAUUAGUCAAGAUUUUUUUAUGACUUAAGAAUUAAUUUUCAACCAGAAUAAAAGGCAAAGUUGGAGAGUUUUGAGGUAUAACUGUAAGUAACCAAAAAAUUUAAAAUGUAUCAGUUAUGUUGGCGACGUUCCCAACCAAUCAAAUAUAUUUUUUUAGAUUAAUUCGUCAUAUCAGGAUUAUAAAAAAAUAUUUUUCUUAUACUUUUUUUUUUGGAAAGAAGAGAUGUGAUAGGUUUGUUAUUACAAAUGUAGAGUAAUUAUGACACAGUAAAUUUUUUUGUAAGUAAGAGGU